UGUCUAAGGUGUUGCCCGAUGAUUUGGGAU
rnacentral:piRNA from 1 species